UUCUUCACCAGCACCCCUGCUUUUCAGGAAUUCUUCCCCAAGUUCAAGGGGAUGACUUCGGCUGAUCAGCUCAAGAAAUCCGCGGACGUGCGCUGGCACGCCGAGAGGAUCAUCAACGCCGUCAACGAUGCCAUGACGUCCAUGGAUGACACCGAGAAGAUGAGCAUGAAGCUAAGGGAUCGAGUGGCAAGCAUGCCAUAAGCUUCCAGGUGGACCCCCAGUACUCCAAGGUCCUGGCCGCGGUCAUUGCUGACACCGUUGCCGCAGGCGAUGCCGGCUUCGAGAAGCUCAUGAGCAUGAUUUGCAUUCUGCUCAGGUCUGCCUACUAAACCAA